GGUUCCCAGGCUAGGGGUCCAAUCGGCGCUGUAGCCACCAGCCUACGCCAGAGCCACAGCAACACGGGAUCCGAGCCGCAUCUACAACCUACACCACAGCCCAUGGCAACGCCGGGUCCUUAACCCACUGAGCAAGGGCGGGGAUCAAACCCUCAACCUCGUGGUUCCUAGUCGGAUUCGUUAACCACUGCGCCGCAACGGGAACUCCCCAGCAUAAACAUUUUAAUCCAUGGAAAUUCAUCCUUAGAAAUAACCACACUAAGGAAACUGGAGGAAACUGGAGCAGCGAGGGCUCCAGAUUGCAAUUCUGACUGUGACCAAAAACACUUGAAAAUGUUUUUAACCUUUAUGGACUUUCAUUUCCACAAAACUGAAAGGGGGCGCAAGACACUACCAUCAUUUAUAGGCUGGCUGAUUUGUUUUUCCUUGAGCAACUAUUCCCAUUCAGGGUACUUCUCUGCCCAGCCUUGCCAUCUCCUCCAACACUCCCUCCCAUCAGCAUCUGCUUUCAUCAGAGCUCUUGAGGACAAAGCCAGACCCUUGCUGGCAGAGCCUGUGGAGAGAGCUAGGAUCUGUGCCAAGCCUGCAGAAUGCUGAUGCUCCUAGAGCCUCUGUCCACUGGGUACCAGAGCUGAGAAGAUUCUCUACAGAGGGGUGAGUACAGAAUCCCCAGGCUCCAAUCAGCCCUGCCACACUUUGUUUCUAGGCAGUUCUGCUUGUGCUGAAGAUUCCUAAAGUUUCUCCCGAAAGGAGGCUUUGUGGUUUCCUCCUCUUACCUCUUGUUGCCUCAUAGUCUCAGGAAGCCUUUUCCUCCGUUUCUGGUCUCACUCCUCUGACCAGCAUCUCCAGCAGCUUCCAAGAGGACAGACAGGGGACAGAUGUGAUGCCUCUCCUCUAUCUCCCACCUCUCAGGCCCUACUCUCAACUAAUCCUACUUGUCCUCCCCCUAGGGUGCUGGAUGUUUGACCAACCCCACACAACCCAAUGCACGUGAGUGAUGACAAUGAGUGCAGGGCUGAAAGGGAUCUGAAGGAGAAAUAUUGGCCUUACUCGCUAUACUUUGGCAUCCCCACUCUGAACAGAAAAAUUGCCCUAUAACAGAUGUUUAAAAAUAAACAUACUUAGCAAUUUUAGCAUGGGUUAAAUAGUCUCCUAUUCUUAUUUUACAGAUGUGGAACGAAAAAUGUGCAUGUCCAUCUGGAAAACAGCAUUUAGAAAUUGCAGAUCAUGGACAUUUUAAAAUCUAAAAGUCAUGGCCAACCGUACCCUGGAUCCCGUGCUGGGAUGCUCUCCUCACACACAUUCAUGUUUUCUUGUAUUUCAUCCUUAAUUGAUGGUGACUGAUAGAAUUUAUCAAGUUCAACUUAAUAAAGAAAAGCUACGGGAAGCUCACCAUGACUGUAGGUAGGGUACAAGUUGAGCACAUUAUUUCCCACAAUAAAAGGUGCAGUUGUAAAAAAGAACACAAAACCUUUCAGUCUAAUACUUUAACAAGGAAAACAAGUACAGAGUGGUUUUAGUAUCUUUCAGACCAUCAUGAAGUCGAAAAAUCCUUAAGUUGAAACACCACAAGCUAGAGGCCAUUUACACAGUUCUCAGUAACAUGAAGUGACUUGAAUAAGUUUGUUUUUUCCCAUCAGAAAAUCAAUUUAACCUGGAGGCUUAGGCUUGGGAGCUGAAUGAAGCCUGCAGAUUUGUGGGUUUGCAAAUCUGCGGCCACAGCCAUAGCGUAUGUAAGUUCCCAGGCACAGUAAAAACAAAAAACAAAAACAAACAAAACAAAACAAAAACAAAAACACGAUUUCUGGCUUUCUUGAAAAAUCAGAAGGUCUGGCCACCUUGGCCAGCCUACCCUAUUGUUUGAAGCUGACUAGUAGAUCCCCCUUUGAAAGAGAAAUCGAUUCUCCAGCUUGCCACAAACCCCAUUUCAUAUUCAUGCUGCCUGCUUGACCCACCACAGGCAUUUGAACUUAAGGCACAUGGACACCUAAUCAAAUAUACCCAUGGAGUAACAUAAUGGACCUGCAUUUAAUCAAUCCAAGAGUCAGAGUCAGUUCAAUCUGAGAUUGAAAAGCAAAUACAUACAUGAAGAGAGAAACCUUUAUGGAAGUGACAUAUGAUCUCCUAUCAGGAGGUCUGAGACCUGAGGCCCAUCCCCAGAGGAAAAACAUUCUGAAACAUACAGCACUCCUCCCUCUCCCCACACAUCUUGGGAAGCUGGCCAGCCCCAUAGGAGAGAUUCAAACAGCUCAUUGUGUUUUGGUCUAGUCUACAACAAUCACCAUGUCCUGGGAGGCCCCAGAUCUGAUUACCCGUGAUCAUGACUGCAGAUUGCAGCACCAGCCUGUUCCCAUUAGUGACUGUAUGCAAUUACAAUCUGAUAUGCUUUGGGGAUCUUACCACAAUAUACUUUUCAGGGAUUUUUUCAUUUCUUCUACCAUCCCCUCCGCCCCCCCAAACACACCACUCUCUACCUUGAUAUGCCUGACAGCAGGGGGCUCAAAUGGAACCAGGAAACUGGCAUAGUUUGAUCAGGACUUUAUAUAUAUUUCUCAAGGUCCAUAUUUUCUUCCUCCUUUAACCCCCCCUUCAUGACCACGGCCUUCAAAACCUAUCUUCCUGGCUGAAUGUCAGAGUCCAAAACUGAAAGAAAGGGGGUGGAGGGUGGAUAUUUCCACCAAUUGUUUUCAGUAAGUGCCUAACUCCAAACUAAAUCAGAACAGUUCAAAUGUACUAAACAUCUCAGGAUCUCAAUCCAGAAACAGCCAAUAUUUAAUACAAACAAUAAUGUGUAUAUCAUGAUGCAAUGCUGCAUGUUGAAAUGGGCAGUACAGAUCUGAGUACAGAUCCUUUAGCUGAUGAGAUGACAGAAAUAGUUCUUUAAAAUUAAGACAAAAAUCAGCAAAAAAAAGAAAAAAGAAAAAAGGAAACUAAGUAUCCUAGAGAUUACUGUGGCCUUUGAAGAAAUUUCUAUCAAAUUGGAUGUAGCCAUAAGGAAACCAGUUUAGUGUAAUAAGAUCAGACAUUUUGAGUCCAAGGCACCCCUUCAAGCAUGGAAAGGCACAAAUGAUGCUCUCUCCUGACAACCCUGUAAGAGAGUCUUCUGUCUGCUCUGCAUUCUAGUGGACUUAGGUACAUUGCUCAGAAAUGAGGCAACCUGCUGAAAAUAGCGCAGCUCAUUCUACCUAAAAAGUUUUUAGCACUUGGGCAUGUAGGCUCUCGAGGAACGUGAAGGAAUUGGACAUUUUCUAGAAUUCCUUCCUUCUGGUCCUUUUAUCACCUUAGGAAGUACCUGAAGGUGGUGUGAUUAGUCAGGGAACUAUGAACAGAGAGCUAUUCC
rnacentral:lncRNA from 1 species